CAUGUGUGGAAUUAUAGAUAUAAAUAAAAUCCCUCCGAGAAUUCCUCCUUCAUUCAUAAUACAGCCUGCCAGGGUGUGCAGACCUUACAACGUUUUUUGUUAUACAAAACCAUGCAUGUCAUCGGAAAAGUUGUCAAAGCAGGUGCCACCGCAGUGGCAGUAGUAGCAGCUGAAAAAGCAGCAGAAACAGGAACAAAGAAAUUAAUUACCACAGAAACGUAUCUCCGUAUUGUUAACAAUUCAAAUAGCAACAUAAUUUCUACUCAAGUCACCGAAACUGACUCUUUUGACUGGUCUGGCUCAGGUCCUGCUGGUAAUUUUCAGGCGAGAAAAAUCCCCAUUGGCGAUUAUUGGGAGGAAAGAGAAGAUAUUAAUUUUUUUGCUUCGAAUUGUCCAUUUACGAUGUUGUUGAGAUUUGCUGACGGUAGUAAAGAGAAAUUCAGAAUUAACCAAAAGUUUUCUGUUGGGAAAGCGAGUGCUGGGUUUAGCCAUCGUGAGGGAAAAAGAAAGAUUAGCUACGCAAGAAAGGAAGGAAAUAAACUUGUUAUUACCAUAAAAUGAUUUUAAUUAAAUUGCGUAUUUUUGACGAUUCUGUAUGCUAAACAAGAAACAUAAUAAAUUACUUUUUUUUUUAAUUUCA